CCCUAACAAUCACAAUGGUGUGAUUGACUAAGCCAAGAUAGGAGAUAUACAUG
rnacentral:sRNA from 12 species